rnacentral:lncRNA from 1 species
AAUUAGUUAUUUCUUUUCCUUCCUACCAAACGACCUUGACUUUGAUUACUUUGUGGCCUGAGUAAUUAACUUGACUGUUGAUAAUAGAAUCUGUAUAUACAGCGAUAUUUGAAGCAUUAAAUUCUUAACAAAAGUAAAGUGCAUUCACAUAUUGAGAUCCAAAACAAAAACAAUAGAUUCUAACACAACGUACAUCAAGGUGCAUUGAUAUUGAACUUCAAAUAUCAUUAGUCAAGAUUCAAGAACAAGACACCAAAAGGACAAGCACAAAAAGGAAGUCAAGAUUCUAAGGCAAUUAAUCCAUAUAGAUGAAAUGAAACAGCAUCACACAACAUAUAAUGUAAUGGGUCAACCAGCUUGCACAGCCAUUGCAUCGAUCAUCAAAAACAUGCAUCUAACAGACAGCAACAACAUAGAGCAGCCAAACAUCCUCCCAUGAGUCCCGCGCCGCCAGAUGAUUGUUGCUGUUGUUGUUGAGGUGGCGCAUACUGAGGGGCAUACUGGGGCGGGUACCCAGGUCCUUGGGGAGGAUACCCCUGAGGAGGGUACCCUUGUGGGGGAUAUCCUUGUGGUGGAGGAACACCAACAGGAGGUUGCUGAUUGUAGUAACUCAUCUUCUGAUGAAAAAUUGGGGGUUGAAUAGCUAGAUAGAGGGAGUUUUUUUGUGAAAGGAGAACUAGACUUUUCUUAGGCAGAAAGAUAAUGGGAUACAUUGAAGAGGAGGAUAUUCGCUCAUUUUAUAGAGUAAUGAUCGAAGAAGGGGAACCUCAUCACUAGUAAAAUUAUUAUCAUAUAAAAAUAAUGGGUUCGAGUCGUAAAAAUAACUUAUUAAAGAAAUACAAAGUAAAGUUAUGUAUAAUAAAAUCUUGUGGUCCGAGUCCUU